GACGAACGCUGGCGGCGUGCCUAACACAUGCAAGUCGAACGAACGGACGAGGAGCUUGCUCCUCUGGUGUUAGCGGCGGACGGGUGAGUAACACGUGGAUAACCUACCUAUAAGACUGGGAUAACUUCGGGAAACCGGGGCUAAUACCGGAUAAUAUUUUGCACCGCAUGGUGCAAUAGUGAAAGGCGGUCUUUCGUUCUGUUAUAGCUGGCUCCGCUCUGCAUUGUCUGGUUGGUAAGGUAACGGCUUAGCAACGCAACGAUGCAUAGCCGACCUGAGGGGGUGAUCGGGACCUGAGGAGCUGAGACACCGCCCAGAGACCGACGGGAGGCAGAGGCAGGGACUCUUGGGAACAGGGGGGAAGCCUGCAGGAGGAACGGGGGGCGAGUGAAGAAGGGCCGCGGGUCGUAAAACGUUGUUAGUAGGGAAGAACACAUGUGUAAGUGAAGGUGCAAAUGUGGCGGUACCCGAAGAAGAAGGCCCGGCUAACUUCGUG
rnacentral:rRNA from 1 species